rnacentral:rRNA from 1 species
CGACAGGCUUAACACAUGCAAGUCGAGGGGCAUCAUGAGGUAGCAAUACCUUGAUGGCGACCGGCGCACGGGUGAGUAACGCGUAUGCAACCUGCCCGAUACCGGGGUAUAGCCCAUGGAAACGUGGAUUAACACCCCAUAGUACUUUUAUCCUGCAUGGGAUGUGAGUUAAAUGUUCAAGGUAUCGGAUGGGCAUGCGUCCUAUUAGUUAGUUGGCGGGGUAACAGCCCACCAAGACGAUGAUAGGUAGGGGUUCUGAGAGGAAGGUCCCCCACAUUGGAACUGAGACACGGUCCAAACUCCUACGGGAGGCAGCAGUGAGGAAUAUUGGUCAAUGGACGUAAGUCUGAACCAGCCAAGUCGCGUGAGGGAAGACUGCCCUAUGGGUUGUAAACCUCUUUUAUAAGGGAAGAAUAAGUUCUACGUGUAGAAUGAUGCCUGUACCUUAUGAAUAAGCAUCGGCUAACUCCGUGCCAGCAGCCGCGGUAAUACGGAGGAUGCGAGCGUUAUCCGGAUUUAUUGGGUUUAAAGGGUGCGUAGGCGGUUUAUUAAGUUAGUGGUUAAAUAUUUGAGCUAAACUCAAUUGUGCCAUUAAUACUGGUAAACUGGAGUACAGACGAGGUAGGCGGAAUAAGUUAAGUAGCGGUGAAAUGCAUAGAUAUAACUUAGAACUCCGAUAGCGAAGGCAGCUUACCAGACUGUAACUGACGCUGAUGCACGAGAGCGUGGGUAGCGAACAGG